rnacentral:pre_miRNA from 10 species
GGUUUGCUCUAAACUAUUGUGAGACCUCCGGCUACAACACAGGACAUGGGAGCUUUUCUGAACCCUCGUGUCUUGUGUUGCAGCCAGAGGGGCACAUCUUUUCAACCCAGUCUGAGA